GCCGGUGUGGUUUGAGCACUAGACUAUGACUCCAGAGAUCAUGGUUCAAAUCCUUGCUCAGGUA
rnacentral:tRNA from 1 species